UAAAAAAAAGGUAAAACCAUAUGGACCACCACCAUUGUAUUCGUAAUUGAGUACCCAGGCCUAGCAUGCAGACAACCAAAAAAAAAAAGAAACGAGGGUCGGGGUCCUAUUUAUUAAUUAUUUGAAGCUUUCCCUCCGGACCCUACGUUGGAACUUUUUUUUUUUUUACAUGAGACUAUUGUUCAGAUUACAACUCAUAUUAUAUAAAAAUAUAACUGAUAUUUAUAAAUUAAAUUAUUACUGGGACCAACUUACAUCAAUGCUAAUGAAGCUCUGUCCAAAUUUUAAUCCUCACAAAUAUUCGAGGGAUGUUCACUCCUCACUCAUGGAUAAGGAAGAGAACUGUCUUCACUUAAUUUUUAAUUAAAAAAAUAAAAUAUCCCUACAAUAUUUUUGUGGGGGUUCGAACUGCUGCCCUCCAAGUUGGAGGGCAGUAGCCCUGACCAGUCGGCCGAAUGGCUCCCUACGUUGAAAAUUGGAAUCUAAAUUUGAAGCUUCCCACCUGACCAUACAUUGGAAUCUAACCAAACAUCUGCGUAAAUACUGAAAAGUGCCCCAACUAUAUGGAAAUUUAUGACUCAUAAAAAAAUAAAAAAUAUAUAUAUAUAUAUAUGUGUGUGUAUAUAUAUAUUGAAAUUUAUAUUUAAUAGUUACAUUCAGUGGGGGGUCGUUUUAAAAAGUCAAGAUAAAAUUUUCUCAAAAAAGAAAAAUGAAAAAAAAAAGAAAGUCAAGAUAAUUCUAAACUAAUUACUGAUAUGAUUAACAUUUUUUCCCUUCUUUUUCGGAGAAUGGUGGAGAUGGCGCGGUUAUAUACUAUUAGACACAUCAAACUUUUCAUUUCUCUAGAAAAGUUCAUUGAAGAGAAAUCGUCAUUAAUCCUUAUAUGGCGAUAUGACAUGAUUCUGUCAGCGACAAUAAUUGUACAUCAUUGACAAAAGUGGGGAAUCAGUGCCCUACGUAAAUAUAGAAAAAUUACUCGCGAAACCGUUAAAUUCAUUUAAACUUACUUGCAAAACUUUAUCUUUGCGGGUAAUUUUGUGGGUGACAGACAAGUUUUACAUUUUAAAUUUAAAUCUAUUACAGGUUGUGAAUGGGUUUAGUAUUAAAAAAAAAUCUGCCAGAUUAUGUUUUGAAUUUUAAUCACAAAAAUUACAUUGAAAAAAUGAAUCAUAAAUAUAUCUAAGCUAAAGUUAUUACUAGUGACCUAGUAUUUUUAGUUUCUAAAUCUAACCUAACUCACUGCUGCAGCCACAUGCCCUCCUCUUUCCACACACACACACAGAGAUAAGUGUAAUAAGCUUUUAAUAAGUAGAAAUUUUAUAAUUUUUAAAUUUAAUAUAAUUAAUAUUUUAUUUUAAUUUGAUUAAUUGUUUGUUUUGUUUUAAUGAUUUGAACAUAAUGAUUGCUUGUUAAAGUUGGGUUUUUAUUCGUUUAAUUAAUAACUAACGGGAGUUGUCCAAAAUUUACUAGUUAACAUUAUUGACAAUACUUGUACAUUGAUCAAAAGAUGGAGUAAGACAUUGAUCUCAGCGAUGAUGAUUUGCUCACAAUAAAAAUAUUUUGUGUUAAAUUGAUAUAUUUAGUAUAUUUGUCUUAAUGUUGAAAUUUUAAUUUCUCAUUUAUAUUGAUAAAAUGUAGAAUCAAGUAUUUUGUACGGGCUUUUAAGUUAAUGUUAUAAAUUUAUAAUUUGAAUUAUAUAAUUUAAAUUUUAAUGUAUUAUGUAUUUUAUUAACAUUUGUGAGGUUAAAUGUAAUAAACUAAAAAAUAUUUGCUGUGAAUUUGAUAAUUCUCGAAAUCCACAUUGGAUUGUGAACAAAUUUAAUAAUUGGCAAAUGCUAAGUUACAAUAAUUGUAACAUACAUUCCUCAUGUGAUCCACACAAAUUGUGGGUCUAAUAAUUUAAUCUUUUUGUGAGUAUAAGUUUAGUAAUGUCAAACCCACAAUGAAUACUAUGCAUUGCGUUCCUUGCCACGGGGUGGGAGUUGAUCACAAUAUAUUAAUUCUUUUGUUCGCAAAUAAAAUAUGUAUUCUUUUUUUCUAAUUAAACAUAGCCAAUUUAUGCACAAAAAUAAUAUUGACCCACAUUGCACAAAAAUGAAAGAAAAUGGACAACCGUCUAAUAGCUCAUUAAUUUGUUUUGUAGAAUCACGCGGUCAAACUUUCUUCCUGGAGAAUUGGGCAACUAAUUGAAUUGUUGGAAUCCAACAUUAAUUAUUUAUGCUUUUGUUAAAUUAAAAACUUUUUAUAAGAAUUUAGUACUAAGUUGAGUUUUUACUGAAUAAUAAAUUAAUAGUUAGUAGACAUGAUAAAUAAAUAAAAUAAUUAAAAUAAUUUUAACCAUUAAUCUAAACACUUUUGUCAAAAUUAUAGCCUCUAAGAAUUAAUUAAAUGCGAAUCUUUUUCCCUUCAGAGUUCAAAUACAAGUUAGAGAGAUAGUUUCACCAGCACAGGUGGCUGCAUCCGAUCCAAGUACAAUAUUGAUCUUUUGAAAUAGAGCUGGCAAAACGGGUCAUCGGAUCGUGUUCGUGUCGUGUCAAAUUUAAAUUGACCCAAACCCGACCCAUUUAAUAAUCGUGUCAAAAUAUUGAGACCCAAAUCCGACACGAAAAAAUAAUCGGGUUACCUAAUAACUCAUUUAAUAUCUAUAUAUUGAACAAAAGUUACAUCAAAUAUUUACACACUGUCAUACAUACGCUAUGUACAUACAUACAUACAUACAUAAUUUAUCAAUAUUAUAAAAUAUACAUAUCUACCAAUAUAUUACUCAUUUACACUAUUGAGGUUUUAAUUAUAUAUAUAUAAUAUUUUAUAUCAAUAUUAUAAAAUAUAGAUGUCUAUCAAUUUUUACACAUUUACACUAUUGAAGAUCUAAAUGUAUUUAAAAUUUUAUAAAUAAAACACUGUGUUUAUAUUCACCCUUUUAAAGAAUAAAAAAAAGAAAAUCAUUACUAAUAUAUGAGUUUUAAUGAUAAGAAUAUGUAAAUUAUUUUAAAAUAGAAAAUAUAAUCGAGUCAUUGAUCGGGCAAAUGGGUCAAGAAUUUUAACCCAAACCCGACACAAAAAAAAAUUAUGUUGACCCUGACCCGACCCAUUUAAUAAUCAUGUUAAAUUUAACGACCCAUACCCAUUUAUUUAUGUCGUGUUCGUGUCGGAUAAUCGGAUCGUGUCAAAUUUUACCAGCUCUAUUUUGAAAGACCAAUGAUCCGGACCCGCGAGUGGGCAUGCACGUUAGGGUUCGGGACAAGGACUUGCCGAACGUAUGCUUGUACACGUUUCUCAACUACACUUUUACUUUCCCUCGUGACGAUUGUAUCGAGUUCGAGGCCAGUUAAGAUAUUUUUAUUGACUUUACAGUGCCGUCCAACUGGAAAGCAUAAAAUGUCGUCAUCAGCAAGGCACGUAACGUUACAUAUAAAAGGAACACGUUUUUACAUUUAACUAAUUAGCCCUCGUCACUUGGCUUUAGCUAUUUUAAGAUGUUAGGCUCCACCACGUACCCAAACCAGUGCAUGUGUUUUGAUCACGAGUGUGCAACGUUACAUGCCAAUGCCUAACGCGAAGCAGUCCACCGACUGAGGAGCGGCUGAAAAUAACGAGACUAUAAUGUUGAACACACGUGAUCGUAUAAAUUAAGCGCAAUCAUAUGAUGGCAUUUUGUCUUCUUGCUACAUUUCUGAGACAGCGUCAUCAUGCCAAGCCGAUACCAAGCAAAUAGAGAGGAUGGCAUGACCCAUCUGGCGACCAUCUUAUGCUCGGAUUCCCAUUAAGAGAAGAACAUGGGAACAUUAUUAAUUUGUCCUCUCACUGUUGUGUUGCAGUGAUCCAUCGUUAGAGUCUUAGAGAUGGUCCCGCUACUUGUUUACCUACAACCGUACAUACCCAAUAAUUCAGGAAAAGGCGGAAAGAGCGCACAUGCCUACUUGCAAAGAGCAAUUAAAGAACUCUGAGGCAUCGUCGGAACGUGGGUCACUUUGUUCAUUAUUGCUGUGCCCACUAUAGGUGAAAUGACUGCAAUUCUAUGCAUGGUAGGUAGUAUGCUGAUAUGUCCUUUACAUACGCGCCCAUCUCUUCGAGUGUGCAAUUAAUCGGCCAAUGUCUUCGCUAGGAUAUUAUUAUUGACUCGUUGACUGGUAGCUAGCUACUGGCUCGACAGUAGUGGAAAUUUGGAUAUUAUUAUUGACUCAUUGACUGGUCGCUAGCCAGCUAAGCUAGGCAGUUGUGGAAAUUUGGAUAAUUAUCAAACACCUCUCCUGGCGUUUGGUUUUCUCUCAGUUUGAUAGAUUGUAAUCGCAUAUUCUCAAACAUCUCCCCUAACGUUAAUAGACUGUUUAUUUGACCGUUUGUUACAUGAUAAAAUAAUCAAAAUGAAAAUACCCCUAAUUAAAAAAUAAUUUGCAUACUGAAAAGAAAGUAAACUGACUACACAUUUCAAACUAUCCUCACCGUGUAAUUCUAUCUUUAAUUUAACCACAACUUACAUCACAACACAUUAAUGCCAAUCAUCAUAUCAAAACAAUUUUUGUAUCCUAAAUCAAUCUACUCUUUCAAGUGGUCAAAUAUUGUUGAACACAACCAGCUACAAUAGUCGUAAAGAAAAUGAAAGAAAUGGCUAUAAAGUCUAACAGAGUCUCACAUAAAUCACUCAACAGUAAUUACCGACAAUAAUAGAAUUAACAUUAGGUUGGACUAAGACCAAAUUGGUCCACAACACACUACAAGUCGCUAGAGUUUAUUUGCACUUGUUUAGCAAAGAAGAAACAAGAAGUUUCAAAACACAUAAUAUACAUAUAAUAUUAUUUCCGUCUAAUACACAUUAGUAAGCCUCGUAUUGAACUAUAUUACAUAUAAAAGAAAUACGCCAAACUUCAGGGGAGGUCUCUGAUAAUUACCUGUGGAAAUUUCACUUGCCUUGAAAUUUAGUCUUGUAACUCACAAGGGGAGGAGAAUGAUCUGUUCUCUUUUAUAGAUUUUGAUUUUAUCAUUAAUUUUUUUUAAUUUCAUUACUCAUCAUUCUCGGAAUUAUUUAAAAAAAAAUUUGACCCCAACCACAAAAUAACACAUUUUUUCUAAUUAAAACGCAAAUAAGUAUUAACCAAAAAAAAUCAAACUCCUUAUAAAGAGACUCCAGUUGUGUAAGAAGUUUAGUUACAAAAGGGAUAUUUUAAUUCAAGAAUUUAAUUUAAAAAUCCAAACAUGAAAACUUUGAACAUUUAUUUAGUUCAAUUGAAGGAUUGAGAUAAUUAAAAAUGUUGUAUUAAAACUUUAUUUAAAAUAAGACUUGAAAAUAAAAAGGUGGAUGAUAUAUUAAAACUGUGGUAGUGCUUGUUUUUUCAUCUAAAAUUUAAAUGAGUUUGAAUGUUACUAAAGUCUGAAAGAGUCUAAAUGAAUAUAUCAUAAUAAUAUGUUUGUUUUUUUUUUAUUUUUUGACGUCUGAGGGUAAGUAAUAAGUUAUUUAUUUCUAUAAGCUCAAAACAUUUUAAAUUUAAUAUUUUUACACUUCCGACCUUGAAAACUGUUAUCUAAUAAUAAAAGUAUUUGUUUAAUUCAAAUUGAAUGUAUGUUGAGUAUUUAAUACCAAACAAAAUUUGAGAUUAAGGAAAAUACUAAUAUGACAUCUAAUAGUUAGGUAGGAAAUAAGUACAUUUAAUGAGGGUAUUUGCGUGAAAAAAAAUUAAAUUUUCAUUCAAACAUUUUAUCAUUUAAAUAAAAGUCAAGAAAUUUUACUUUUUUCAUUCAAAUAAAAUGUCUUACGGUCAUUCUUCAGACAAAAAGCAAACAAGCCAAAACAUUAAAACAUCUUAAAUUAAGCCAAACUAAGACUUAAAACAUAAAAAUAAACAACCCUUGCUAAAAAUGGAGAGUGACUCUUGGUAUACUCCCUUUUUCAAAGAGAUUACACCAGCAAAAAUUCUGCAAAAUCUAUCUUUACAUUUUGGUUUAUCAAGAGUCUCUUGAAAAAUAAUUUCUGCAAGUGUCUGCUCCUAGUUUAGCAAGUUUUGUCUUAUAAAAUAGGGAAAAUGACACCUACACACUAAAGAUUUAAGAAAAUAGUCAUGCAGAACCAAAUUUUCAAUAAGGAAAACUAAUCCACUUUUGACUAUAUACCAUUUGUAUA
rnacentral:lncRNA from 1 species